rnacentral:lncRNA from 1 species
AACACCUGCAACACUGGGGAACAGCUUUGUUUUCAGAAAAUGCAUGCCACCCACAAUGAAGAGUUGAAGACAAUUGAAGAAGACGGCACAGCGGCAGUGGAGAUGACAAUGCAAGUGGCUGAACGCAAGAAGAAAUGUAUGUCACCGAUCGGCACCCCUAAUCAUCUUCUCCAUCAUCAGCAAGCAGAAACAGGAGAGCCGGGGAGGGGAGCAUAGGCAUUGGCUUUAUGUGAGUUACUCUGUGAUGGGUUUUUGCAUCUAGUGGCGCAAGUCACUGUGCAACAAUAAUGUGUAAAGACGGUACUAUCGUUUGCUCAGCGGUCCCUUUUCAAACAUAAAAGAACUUGGCAGACAGUACACGCUCUGACCCUCAUGCACCAAACAGCCUUGCACACCAGAGUUGCAAUUUACAGAUUUUACCAAUGCAAACCUGGGAUCCAAUGAUGAGCAUGCAUCAAGGUGAUGUGAGCGAGCAUAAACUGAAAUUUGCCCUGCUGAGUUCUGCAGUCACAACACUGUCACGGCUUGAACGUGCUUCCAGAAAAUUGCAAUCCAAGCCUGGAACAAAAUGGUCGACCAAACCUCCGACAUCGCUGUCGUUAAGUCUGCACAGACCAAAUCCAAUUAAUGAGUUAAAUGGUCGAACAGAUGAUAAUUAAUUGCAGUGAAGAAAUAAGUAAACAGAGUGCAACACCGGAUCAUCGAAUGUGCUAGGCUAAGUAGAGCUACUGUCUUGAGUAUUGUUGUUCAGAUGGUAGACAGCCCCCAUUUUGAUGUAAGGAGACUGAGAAAAUACAGAGACCCAAUGCCAAACAAGAUACUUACAAAACAACUAAACACUUGCAGCAACAGGCUAUUAUCAGUAGCGGACAUGCUGAAUGUCGUUUUGGACUUUGCCAAUGCCAACAGCGGAGCCAGGUUAGCAACAGGAAAGCACACACCCAACACUGCGAUGCCUGAAGACUGCCCGUGUUUGCUCUUGCAGCUACAAGUCUAAAACAUCAAAUGUUGGUGAUUUAUCCUCCCGACAUGGUGCUUGACAGUUUGGCAGUUUGCAAUCAUGAGAAUGGAUGAAUUUAUCAAACCCUAAUACGUAUUUUCUACAAGAAAAAUGCUCGGAUUCAAGGUUACACACUGAAGGACACAAACAAGGAUUGAGGCAAGGAAGCAGGGUGUUUCUGAUUUAGACAAAAUAUUUUGUUCCUAGUCAUGUUUUUUUUUUGACGGGUCAACGGUGGGCUUACGCCAGCCUGAACUUAUAUUAUUCAAAACAUCACUUAAAAGGAGUAGCCAGAGUUACAAGGGGUUACGUGGGAUGAGAUUAUAUAAGAAUAUAAAUGUACCAGGGGAUUGCUAAUCGUUCAUGUUCCCUAUUACCUUAUAGCAGAAAUUUCUUCAGAACAUGUUUUGUGCUUACAGCCUGUUAUUUAGUUCAUGUCCCGAUGUUGCUGCAAUGCCGUCUUCUUGUAGUGCUUUUCAUAAGAAAGAUCUGGUGAUGUUUUUGAAUUCACAGGGAGAUCAUAACCAUUGCACUUUUAUCAGCUCACAUAAGCAGUUCCUAUCUGUUCUCGCAUCUCCUGAACAUAUAAUACAUGAUGAACUCUGCCAGACAACGACGCUGCUUAACUGGCCAGCCAGAUAUAUCCUGCCUUAUCUUGUUUUGAUUUCUGAAUAGUUGGUUAACUUAUGCUACCUUAGUUAAAUAGAAAAGGAAAUGAAGUUGUUCACAUAACCUACAUGAGUAACAAAAGUGCAAUGGUAAAUGUACAUAUAUUGUAUUGCUGAUUGAUUUAUGCAAUGACAAGCUCAUGCACAAUUCUUCACCGAAGCUAGAGAAACAAGACAUGUGUGACUAUGCAAGUAGUCAGCAAAACCACAUGUAACUUUACUUAGAACACAGUAUAGCAAGAAACGGCAGUAAGCAUGACAUGAGAGCAACAGUGCAUCAGAGUUAUUUGUCAUGCAUAAAUAAAACAACCUUUUAAAAUAACAAUUGGACAGUUGAAAAGACCACGAUGACGCCUAGGGGGGGGUGGGGGUGAAUAGGCUAUUUAAAAACUUCUUCAGAUUUGGCUUAAACCUAAUGCGGAAAUAAACUAAGAGGAUACUUUUCAAGCACAAAUCCUAAAUGCAAUAGGCACCGCAACGUGCACCAACAACACGAUCUACCAAGAUGGACACAACACGGUUACUAACAAGCACAAGUUACACAAACUUACUUGAGCUAUAUCACACGACGAGUAGGUGAACGACACAAGAUACUAGAUCACACUAUAGCACACGAUAUAUCAAAAGCUGCAAGUGUGAACGUGUGGAUAUAGAGGGUAUGCUUGAACGAUUAAUCUUGUACAAAGAAAUAGCCAACACAAUAUAAUGAGCAUAAACAAUAUGCAAUGUAUGUAUGCUCAAGUAACACAAGUAAACCACAAGUAAGGAGUUAAGGUUAGGGAUAACCAAGGUCACUGAGACAAAGAUGUAUCCCGAUGUUCACUUCCUUGGAGGGAAGCUAGUCACCGUUAGAGAGGUGGAUGUUACCACGAAGGCACACCAACGCCACGAAGGCUCACCCUAUUCUCCCUUUGAGAUAACACCACGAAGGCGUUUCUCAACCACUAGUGGUAAGCCUUUGAGGUGGCUUCCAAACCCUCACAAACUUUUCCGGGGGUAAUCACACGGAUUGAUUCCUCUCCGAAGAACUCCUACCGCCUAGGAGUCUCCAACCUCUAAGAGUAACAAGAUCACGGGGAAUGCUCAAAACUUGCUCAAAUCUCAAAUAGCUUGGGUUGAGAGGAGAAGAGGGAGACGAUCUAUCUUUUGAUUGGAACAACUCUCAAAGGGGCUCACAAAUGCUCUUGGGAUCUAAGAUUUGGUGUGAGCAAAUGUGUGUGAGGUAGAAAUGUGUUCUUAUGAAGAUAUGGCUGUGUUGGACCCAGGGGGGUAUAUAUAGUGGGGAGACUAAAGUAACCGUUGGGGUCACUUAAGUCUGACAGUGGUCG